GCCUAAGACUGAUUCUAACAAAUUCCCAAAUGGGGCUCAUGCUGCUGACCCAGGGACAACGCUUUGAGAACCACUGGCCUAAAUAAUGACUACAGCUACUUCCAGCUGUGAGAUUUUAGAAUUUUGUUUCUAAGAAGCAGUGUAAUAUGGGAAGAAGAAAUUAAGAAAUAAAGGAGGAUUUGAGAAGACACAUGAGGCCUGGUGCAGUGGCUCACACCUGUAAUCCCAGCACUUUGGGAGGUCAGGUGGGAGGAUGGUUUGAUGCCAGGAGUUUGACACCAGCCUGGGCAACAUGGCGAGAUUUCAUCUCUACAAUAAAACUUUUUAAGAAAUUGGCAGGUGUGGUGGCAUGCACCUGUAGUCUUAGCUACUCAAAGCUGAGGUGGGAGAAUCUCUUUGAGCCUAGGAGUUCUAGGUUACAGGGAGCUAUGAUCACAACACUGCACUCCAGCCUGGGCAACACAGUGAGAACCUGUCCCUAAAAGAAGAAGGAGGAGGAGCAGGAGGAGCAGGAGAAGAACGAAGAGGAGAGGAGAAAUUUCUGAACAGUCCCCUCAAGCAACAAGCAGAUUGGUUUCUAUGCUGCAAAGCUGAGAUUAAAAAUCAAAAUAAGUUCUGCAAUGAACUAAAGCUGGUAAGAGUUGGAGCUGAGACCCGAAUCCAGGACUUCCUGGCUCUGGAGCACAAAUUUGAAGCAGCCUUCUUCACCUGCAGGAGCCAGGCCUGCAUCAGUCACCUGUUUAUAAGGCCAGCAAGUCUGAUCACCUCUUGCAAUCAACAAACAGCAGGUUGCCUGAACUCAUCUGCCCCUUGGCUGCUAGACUGAGCUACUCUGCAGUUUCAGGGCCACAACAGAUACUGACCAUAAGAGUCUAAUCUCAGACACGGUUUAAACAUAGAUGGCCCAAGGAACACCAUCUGAGAGCUGAGGGGAGCCCAAAAUGUCUCCCUGCCUCAGCCCCAGGUUUCCAUGGAGGCAGAAGGAAGAUAAGGUUGGAGAAGCAGCUGCCUAAAUGACCUGUGGGCCUGAAUAUGAGGGGUGCCCAGCCCCCAGGGACACCCCACUUCUUGUGCACUUUCAAAGAGUUUUCAAGGUGGAAGAAAGCAGAGUUGACUGGGGUUGCGGACUAAGCUGACACAAGUAGGGUGGGGACAGUGUGGCAGGCUCCAGCAAGCACCAGAUCAGUACCUUCAGCCCUAGUACUUCUCAGCUAACUAGUGGUAAAGGUGGGCCUGGGCCCCAGGACCUUAUGGAAAUAGACAUGAAGGUCCAUUUGGAUGGAUGGACUGAGUUUUAAAAGCCUCUGCUUUUGCUAAUGGAUGGUAAAGCCCAUAUGCUGUUGCACCCUCUCCCAGCCUCUCUUCACAGGGACCUACAGACUCCUCCACCAGAACCCUCCCCAGCAGACAGCAACUCCCCUUCAGUUGGUCUGUGGGCACUCGAAGCUGUGUGCAACCAGGCCAAUGAGGUCGGUGAGGCUAUGGAGGACGGCCUUGAGAAAAACCAAGCCAGGACAUCUGGGAUCAAGAAGACAGAACACAAUACAACAGCUGGAAGGAAUGGAGAAAUGUACAGAUAAAGCAAAAUAAUCAGGAUAUGAGAUCUCAUUCCACUCCCAGUUAAUCAUCUGGAAGCUGUAUUCAAGGCUGCACAUUAACUUCAUGAAUACGCCACAGACACCUCAAGUGCAAGAGGUUUAAAGCCAAACCCCAUGUUUUAACCACCCAAUAUGUUUCCUUCCUGUGUUCCCAAUUUCAGAAAAAGCCUCAGUUACGACUUUCUGAGCCUUAGUUUUUCAACCCACAAAAUGGAGGGAGCAAUGCCUGCUCUGUCUACCUGGGCUGCCAGAGUCAGGUGAGAACCCAGACACAAACACACAUUGGAAAAUAACAACUGUGAGGAAGAUGGAGACCAGAGCAUGCUCACUCACUGCCAACAUUGUUCACCUGGUUAUUGACUCUCAAAGGAGGGACCCCAUCUCACAUGAGCAUGUGAUGGCACCAUGCAAAUUGCAAUGGGCUGCACCAGCAAGAGAAUGACAAACCAACAAGGCCGGCACCAUAUGACAAGAGCACCAGAGACUUCCUUCAGAUGCUAUGCACAGCCAUUUCCACAGAGACCUAUUAGAGACUAAAACUGAAUUUUUAGUAUGAAACAAGGGACUGACAAUGACAGCAGGAAUUUUCAGCAAGAAGGGAAAGGAGAACAACACAUAGCAUGCUUGAGGGAGGGCUAAUUGGAGUAAGCAGGGAUGUGGUUAAAAGGGGAGGACCUCAGAGGUAAUCAUCUAUAUCCCUUAUUUCCCAGUGGAACCAUUUAAACUGAGAGAGGAUGUGGAGGUUAGCCUCCAGCAUGGCUCCCAGUGAUCCCCACCUCCUGGAAAUUAUAUCCUUGUGUAGUCUCCUCCCAGACUGAAUAGGGGUGACCUGGAGAACCAAUAGGGUAUUGAGGUGAUCACAGUGUUUGACUUCUGCACCUAUGUCAUAAAGCGCAUGAUGACAUCUGCCUUGGAUCACUCACUCUGUGGGAAGCCAGCUUCCCUGUGGUGAGGACACUCAAACAGUCUUAGGAAGAAGCUUCCAUGGAGAGUAACUGCAGCCUCCUGACAACAGUCAGCAAGGAACUAAGACUUUCUGCCAACAGCCACAUGAGUGACCCAUCUUGGGAGAUGAUUCUCCAGCCCCAGUCAAACCUUCAGAUGAUGUGGUUCCAGCGAACAUCUUGAGAGCCUGUGAGCAGACUCCCAGUUACACCACUCCCAGAUUUCUGACCUAUUAUACUAUGAGAUAAUUAAUAAAUGAUUGCUGUUUUAAUUCACCCAGGUUUGGGGUUGUUUGUUAUACAUCAACAGAUAACUACUACAGAGGGUGUAUUUCAUUUCCAAUUACUUUCUGCAUUUUUACACUAUAUCCACAGUCAUUACCUCAUUUGAUUCUUAUACUUACUUAUUUUCUCUGGCUCAAAGGUUGAUAAGCUAUGUCUUGGAGAAGUUAAAUAGCAUUUCCAAAUUCACAUUAUGCAUCGUGGCAGAUCCAGGUGAGGGGCCAAGCAUUCUGACUUCUCGUGUUUUCUCUCUGCAUAUAAUCCAGAUGCUGAAAGCACAUUCUGUGGGCAGCUGCAUCCUUGAACAUUGUCUGGAGCCUGCUCUAUUUUGAAAGAACUCUUUGCUGCAUGCUCUAGGGCACAGAUGGAGGCAGCAUCAUAGGUGGGUUAAGCAGUUACCUCCUCUUUGGCACAACCUGCUAAGCUAACCUGAGUACUCCCAACCAUUAUUCCACAAGCCUCUACCGAGUGCCUCCUGUAUGACAAGUGUCAUAGAACUCACAUCAACAGGAUGCAUUUCCUGGAGGCACAGUUCAAUAGAGAGCUGGGGGUGAAAAAAAAAGAGAGAAAAGAAAAAAUAAGAAAGCUAUAACAUUUGAGCUUGAAAUGUCACAGGGAGCCAAGGAAGUUGUCUGAUGGAUUGCCCUGUCAUCUCCAAGCCAAAAGAAAAAAAAUUUCAGAUCCAUCAAUUUGUUCCUGCCCUUUUAAUCCAAGCAAUACUUUACAGCAUCAGAAUGCAAAGAAAUUAUUUUCUUAGACGAAUCCUCAUGUGGACUGCUGAGCACUUAACCAGAAAACAGCAAGAGAGAACUGUAGGUUGUUCAAGUGUCUGCACAUCUGAUUGAUCCAGAUUGAAUGUACAAUAUACUGGAACACAUAUGAGAGCCUACUGGUGACAUAUGUUCAUUCAUUCAUCCAUGUGGAGUUGACAUCGCUUUGCCAUAGACAAUGAAUUUGAAGAGACACCUGUGUACAUGUGCACCAGCUGCCCAGGUUGAGGACUGCUCCUGCCUGCUCUGGACCUGCUCCUCCCUUUGGCUGGCUUUCCAAUUAGUGUAGACAUGUUCUCCCAUAUCCUAGCCUCUCUUUGGGCCACAUUUGAGGAUACCACCAACCAACCCUUGGAUCAAAUGCUUGGCUCUUGGGCUCAGACCCUGUAGGGAUAUAGCUUUAUUUGCAAAGUAGGCUGAAAGACUCCCUCUCUUGACAAGGAAAGCUGAUUGGCAGUAUGAAGAGUACACUGCAGAAGUUUUGAGGAGGACAAGCACUUACGAUGGCUUUACAGGGAUGGCUGCCCAAGUGAGAUAGAAUUUAACAUGACAAAAUGAAGGCACAGAGAAAUGAUAUAGCUUGCUCAAGGUCAUACAGAAGUGGUCGAUCUGGGAUUUGAACCCAUGUCAUCUGAUGGCAGAGCCUUCACAAGCCUGGCAUGUAUUGCUUGCUAGUGAUUCCAUAUCUACCUGUCUGUAAUUUCUGUCUAAUUCCAUUUUCUGUAGGAAUUCAAAUCAGUAAACAAAAAAUUUUUUGCAUCUUUUCAAAU
rnacentral:lncRNA from 10 species